GCCUGGCUAGCUCAGUUGGUAGAGCAUGAGACUCUUAAUCUCAAGGUCAUGAGUUUGAGCCCCAUGAUGGGUG
rnacentral:tRNA from 1 species